CUGAAACGAUCUGAAACUCCAGUAUGACGGUGUGUAGCAUAAUAAAUCAAGAGUUUAGGAGAUUCUCCAGUUUUCUGAAGGUACCAGUGAAGGUAGUUACUAAUACCUGAACUGGCUUUACAUCUGAUAGAGACAGACUGUCCUGGAGCAACAGACUGAGAUCCAGGAGACUGAGUCAGGAUGA